rnacentral:rRNA from 1 species
CCCUUUCGGGGUCCGAGUUGUAAUUUGUAGAGGACGUUUCGGGAGCGGUGCCGGUUUAAGUCCCUUGGAACAGGGCGUCACAGAGGGUGAGAAUCCCGUAUGUGACCGGUGGCCAACCCCAUGUGAAACCCCUUCGACGAGUCGAGUUGUUUGGGAAUGCAGCUCAAAAUGGGUGGUAAAUUUCAUCUAAAGCUAAAUACCGGCCAGAGACCGAUAGCGCACAAGUAGAGUGAUCGAAAGAUGAAAAGCACUUUGGAAAGAGAGUCAAACAGUACGUGAAAUUGUUGAAAGGGAAGCGCUGGCAACCAGACCUGUCCGCGGGCUUCAGCCCCCGUUCUCGGGGGUGUACUUGUCCGCGAUCAGGCCAGCAUCGGUUCGGGCGGUUGGAUAAAGGCCCUGGGAAUGUAGCUUCCCCCGGGAAGUCUUAUAGCCCUCGGCGCAAUGCGGCCAGCCCGGACCGAGGACCGCGCUCGGC